rnacentral:rRNA from 1 species
UACGUAGGGGGCAAGCGUUGUCCGGAUUUAUUGGGCGUAAGGAGCGUGUAGGCGGUUUGGUAGGUCCGCUGUGAAACUCGAGCUCAACCUCGAGACGCCGGUGGAAACCAUCAGACUAGAGUCCGGAAGAGGAGAGUGGAAUUCCUGGUGUAGCGGUGAAAUGCGCAGAUAUCAGGAGGAACACCGGUGGCGAAGGCGGGUCUCUGGGCAGUAACUGACGCUGAGGAGCGAAAGCGUGGGGAGCGAACAGG